rnacentral:misc_RNA from 1 species
AGAACACAGUGCUUUCUCUCUCUUCUCUUAUUCUGUGUUUGGUUUACACAGCCAAAAAAAAUGGAUGAUUUGAUGGAAACAGAUGAAGAAUUAAUGGAUUUCACCUUAGCUGAAGCUAUGGAAAUGACCACUUUCUUUAAAGGAUUGAAAGGAAAAUCAAUCAGUCAAGAGUUGUGUCAAGAAUUUGCUAACAAGUUUAGUUCUUCACCAUUUCGUACUGGGAAAUCUAUAAUAAAAGGGGAACAGGUGAAAAGUUGGUUUCUUGAUAAGCAAAAACCAAAAGCAGCUGAAGUCCCUGAUGAUGAUUAUGUAGAACAUGUUGAUGAUUACGAAGAACCUAUUGUUCCUAAACGACGAGGAAGAAAACCAAAAUCUAAAAACACAAGUUCAUCUCUGGUGGUCUACAAAAAAUACGAUGCUUGUGGUUACACAAGACUCCCAGAAUGUGCAUAUGACUUGCCUCAGAGGCCCAGAGUUUCUGCAGCAGAGAUGGCCAAAGAACUCAGAGGGUUGUCUUUUGAAGCUCUGUCAGCAAAGGAUUUAGCUUGGUAUGACGUGGGCUCAUUUCUCAACUUCAGAGUUCUUUACACGGGCGAGCUUGAAGUUCGUGUAAGAUUUGCUGGCUUUGGUAAUGAAGAAGAUGAAUGGGUGAAUGUUAAAAGGGGAGUACGUGAACGUUCUGUUCCCUUAGAGCCCUCAGAAUGUGUCAAGCUGAGUGUUGGAGAUCCUGUGAUGUGCUUCAGGGAAGAUGAAUAUCUCGCAGUAUAUGGUGACGCAGAGGUUGUGGAGAUCCAAAGAAAUCUACAUGAUAAUACAAGAUGCACGUGCAUCUUUGUCGUCCGCUAUGACUUAGAUAAGGCUGAGGAGAAAAUUGUACUGGACAAGAUAUGUUGCAGACCGAACUUCAUCAAUAACAAGAACAAGAACAACAACGACAACACACCCACUGAAAUUUCCACCACAAGUGGAGUCUGAAGAAGAUAGGAUGUAGUUAACUCGUGUCAGUGAUGCUAGAUGGUUAAACAAAGAAAACACACCUAAGUCACUAAGCAUCCUAACUUGGGAAGUGUUCAAAACUCUACUUGUGUAUUACGUUUAAUUGUGUGUCUUGUACAAGUUUCAUGAAUACAAUGGUGAAUGACUGUAUCUCGAUGGUCUGGUAGAACCUUAAACUCACCAGGCCAGAGCAUCCGGGGCGUUGUGCUCGAAUUUUGGAUGUUGGAAGCAAUGUAAUU